CGGUGUUGGUGUUUGUUUUCAAUAUGAUUGUCUAGUAAGGCGGUGAGCUGGCAGAAACGUUAGCACGCCGGGCGAAAUGCAUAGCGGUAUUUCGUCUGCUGUUACGUUCUGAGUUCAAAUUCCGCCGAGGUCGACUUUGUCUUUCA